UGGAGCUUCACUGAUUUGUGGUUGUUUGAGGUUUCUGGAGGCUUUUGAGCUUGAUUCCAGUGAAUUUUGAGAUCUAGGCAGAUGAUCUGGAUGAUUCUGCUUCGAAUGUUCUUUGUAUUUGAAGAUUUGUGGUGGAAGUUCUUCGGGGCUUUGGAGGCUUGAAUCCGUAGAGCUUCACUGAUUUAUGAUUUAUUGAUGUUUUCGGACCUUUGAGCUUGAUUCCCGCAAACUUUAGGAUCUAGGCAGAUGAUCUGGAUGAUUCUGCUUCGAAUGUUCUU